UGCGUUGAAGGCUAUGAGCGUAGGCUCGGCUGGAGCUUCCGUCAGUGCAGAUCGUAAUGGUAGUAGCAAAUAUUCAAGUUCGAUCCUUGAAGACUGAAGUGGAGAAGGGUUCCACGUGAACAGUAGUUGGAUGUGGGUCAGUCGAUCCUAAGGUACUGGCGAAAGCCUUGUAUCAUCGGUGGCGAAAAGCUUGCUUUUUGUCCCCGCCCGUCGAAAGGGAAUAGGGUUAAUAUUCCCUAACUGAGAUGCAAAGAUUGUGUUCUUCGGAGCACAAGCGCGGUAACGCGUUCGAACUUGGUAAGUCGCUCAGAGACCGAGCUAGAGUUUUCUUCUCUAGUUAAGGAACGGACUCCCUGGAAUUGGUUCAGCCAGAGAUGGGGACGUUGUUUCCGAAAAGCACCGCGGUUUCUGUGGUGUCUCGUGCUCUCUGAACGGCCCUUUAAACACCAAGGGAGGCUAUUAAUUUGCACUCAAUCGUACCGAUAUCCGCAUUAGGUCUCCAAGGUGAACAGCCUCUAGUCGAUAGAAUAAUGUAGGUAAGGGAAGUCGGCAAACUAGAUCCGUAACUUCGGGAAAAGGAUUGGCUCCAGUGGUCGGAACGGUUGGCCAGUUGGUUGAUGCUUGUCCGGCGCUGUUCUGUCUGCUUGAUGCUUUCGGGCUGAUGGCGGCCUAGUGAUAGUGCUUGCUUGUUGACGCUUUCUGGUGUGUGCUUUGACCUCGGUCUUAGUAUCCUGAUCGUUCAUCUAAACGACUAAACUGGAACCGGUACGGACUCAGGGAAUCCGACUGUCUAAUUAAAACAGAGGUGACAGAUGGUCCUUGCGGACGCUGACUGUCACUGAUUUCUGCCCAGUGCUCUGAAUGUUAAAUCGUAGUAAUUCGAGUAAGCGCGGGUAGACGGCGGGAGUAACUAUGACUCUCUUAAGGUAGCCAAAUGCCUCGUCAUUUAAUUGUUGACGCGCAUGAAUGGAUUAACGAGAUUCCUACUGUCCCUAACUACUAUCUAGCGAAACCACAGCCAAGGGAACGGGCUUGGCAAAAAUAGCGGGGAAAGAAGACCCUGUUGAGCUUGACUCUAGUUUGACAUUGUGAAGAGUCAUGAGAGGUGUAGCAUAGGUGGGAGUCUUCGGACGCCAAUGAAAUACCACCACUUUCAUCGACUCUUUACUUAUUCGGUUAAAAGAGAAUUGGUCGCAAGGCCUCUUUUCGAAGUAUUAAGCGGAGGCAUUUUAUGGAACCGUGACUCUCCCCGAAGACAGUGUCAAGCGGGGAGUUUGACUGGGGCGGUACAUCUAUCAAAUCGUAACGUAGGUGUCCUAAGGCGAGCUCAGAGAGGACGGAAACCUCUCGUAGAGCAAAAGGGCAAAAGCUUGCUUGAUCUUGACUUUCAGUACGAGUACAGACCCGCGAAAGCGUGGCCUAUCGAUCCUUUUAAUUUUCCAGAUUGUUUCUGGUAAGAGGUGUCAGAAAAGUUACCACAGGGAUAACUGGCUUGUGGCAGCCAAGCGUCCAUAGCGACGUUGCUUUUUGAUCCUUCGAUGUCGGCUCUUCCUAUCAUUGCGAAGCAGAAUCGCCAAGCGUUGGGAUUGUCACUCACUAAUAAGGGAACGUGAGCUGGGUUU
rfam:Caenorhabditis japonica strain DF5081 Contig6876.1, whole genome shotgun sequence.